GACGUAGGGGACGAGCGUUGUCCGGAUUCAUUGGGCGUAAAGGGCGCGUAGGCGGCGCGGUAAGUCACUUGUGAAAUCUCUGAGCUUAACUCAGAACGGCCAAGUGAUACUGCUGUGCUAGAGUGCAGAAGGGGCAAUCGGAAUUCUUGGUGUAGCGGUGAAAUGCGUAGAUAUCAAGAGGAACACCUGAGGUGAAGACGGGUUGCUGGGCUGACACUGACGCUGAGGCGCGAAAGCCAGGGGAGCAAACGGG
rnacentral:rRNA from 1 species